rnacentral:rRNA from 1 species
GACAUUCCUCGAUACCCUGUCCACUGAAUUUUGAUGGCUGCAGUAUUAUGACUGUACUAAGGUAGCAUAAUCAAUAGUUUCUUAAUUCGAAGCUGGAAUGAAUGGAUGAACGAAAAAUUUUCUGUCUCUAUAUAAAAACAAGAAAUUUAUUUUUAAGUUAAAAAGCUUAAAUUUAAUUAAAAGACGAGAAGACCCUAUAAAGCUCUAUGGUAAUAUAAUUGAAUCUAGUAAUUUGAUUAUAUUAUUAUUUAGUUGGGGUGAUUGAAAAAUUUAAAUAACUUUUUUUAUAUAAUAACAAUUAUACUUGAAUUAAUGAUCCAUUAUUAUGAUUAAAAGAAAACAUUACCUUAGGGAUAACAGCGUAAUAUUUUUUUAGAGUUCAUAUUAAAAAAAAUGAUUGCGACCUCGAUGUUGGAUUAAAAUUAAUUAUAGGUGUAGAGACUUAUAAAUUAAGUCUGUUCGACUUUUAAUAUUUUACAUGAUC